rnacentral:rRNA from 1 species
CCUACGGGAGGCAGCAGUAGGGAAUCUUCCACAAUGGACGAAAGUCUGAUGGAGCAACGCCGCGUGAAUGAAGAAGGCCUUCGGGUCGUAAAAUUCUGUUGUCAGAGAAGAACGUGCGUGAGAGUAACUGUUCACGUAUUGACGGUAUCUGACCAGAAAGCCACGGCUAACUACGUGCCAGCAGCCGCGGAUAAUACAUC